UACAGGGGGGGCAAGCGUUGUUCGGAAUUACUGGGCGUAAAGGGCUCGUAGGCGGCCAACUAAGUCACACGUGAAAUCCCCAGGCUUAACCUGGGAACUGCGUGUGAUACUGGAUGGCUUGAAUUCGGGAGAGGGAUGCAGAAUUCCAGGUGUAGCGGCGAAAUGCGUAGAUAUCUGGAGGAACACCGGUGGCGAAGGCGGCAUCCUGGACCGACACUGACACUGAGGAGCGAAAGCCAGGGGAGCAAACGGG
rnacentral:rRNA from 1 species